rnacentral:lncRNA from 1 species
AAUUUAGAAACAUUCAAUAGAUAUGAUUCUGAAACAUAACAACCUUAAUUGUUGUGAUUCUGAAUCGUAAUAUAUACAAACUAUGUUAUUUCUUCAAUUAUUUUUCAAACUAUGAUAUUUGAUAUUUCGCUAAUACUUUUUAAUUUACUUUACUAAUUUUUUUUUUUAAAUCCAAAUCCGGGGAAAAAUGAAAGAAUUUUCUCGCCAUUAACUUAUAUUCUAAACAUCAAGUAAAGCAUUUUGUCUCUACCCCAUAUCUCCAAAAUGCAAAACGUCUUCAACCCUGCAAUGACACUACUACUUCUAAUCCAAAAAUCCAACAUCUUACAAGGACAUUUAUCAUGAAUAUUUCCACAUAAAGAAGGUUAAAAGUUGUUCUGAUAAUUCCAUAACCUAGCAUCAUUCAAAAGAAGGAUAUUGAUUUCCAGAGUUAAAUAAUUUCUAAGGGAAAGGAUUGGGGAAAAGGAUGUCCAUCCCAAUCCAGCUCUGUAGCUUUCCAGCUUCAGUCAACAGAUUCUAUCCUUGGAAAUUUAAGCAAACAAUGUGCACCCAAGUACAAAAAACCAAGUCAUAUGAAGACAUGCUCAGUCACGACUAAGAAGAUUCAGUCUUGUAGUCAUAACAGUAACAUUCAGAACCAUUGUAAAACCAAAUUUGAGUCAGAGCCAUCUCUGCAAUGAACAAGAUGAAAAAUGGAUUAAUUUUUUCCUAUCUCGGACAAUGUUGCAAAUGGUCAAUUUGCUGCUCUCUCUACCAACCAAGAUAUGAAUUUAGAAAGAUCUAUUAGCAUGUAAAUGUCAAAAACAUGGAAAAGAAACUUCUACUGGAACAAAAAUGCACACCAUUCCAGAACAAUUUUGAACGUAGGCACUUUAACUCAGAGACUUGAGUUCUUUUGAAGCAGAAUGAUGCAUUUUUUGGCAUAAUUUACAUAGCAUUUCGAGAUAAUAAAGUAGUGACAUGAAAGGCAAUCCAAAAAAUCACAACACUAGUUUUACAAGUAGUGAGUUCCUUUCAAUUUCAUAAAAGUCGUGCUCUUUCUAAUUCUUCAUAAUAUUAGUCCAUUGAUGCCAACUAAUUAUGCAAUGAUCUCAUUUACAACAAGACAAAAUACAAGACUCGACAUGGACAGGUUCAAGCCUGACAAUUCAUUCACAGAACCUAAGAUAUUCAAUUUCCCCCCGGCCUUAAAGGCCUCCUGUCCUCACUAUUACUGUUGCGAUGGGGCAUAGUAGCAAGAACAGAGACAGAAUACAAGAUAAGACUUGCUAUCCUCACUAUGUUUUUGAUACCUAGCUGUUACACGUACAGAUCACCACCAUUGCUGUCUGGUUCAAGUCUCCUUUUCAUGUUAUCCCCAAUGGUUUCAGUUCCAUAACCAUGGGUUGAACUUGGAAUUUCUACCAAACCCAUUUAAUUUUGCUAAUACAGAAAGGAAUUUUGUUCGAUCUAAUAUGAUAUUAUCAGUAUUAUUCAAAACAGAGAAGGAGAAUGAGAUGAUGUUAUAAGUUAUAACAAGAAGUUUAUGAAAACUAGCCUGAUUGAUGCCAAAAUAGAGAUGAGAGACCACAGAAGAAGGAAAGAGGCAGAUCACAGACGAAGUGAAGAAACAAAAUAGGUGUUUUGAGAAAGAGAGAGAGUGGAAUUGUUGAACAGUGGAAUCAUGUGCUAGUGCUACUUAAGAGUCUUGAGACGUAAAUGCUAAAUGCUAAUUGUAUAUUUCUUUCGAAAU